rnacentral:rRNA from 1 species
CCUACGGGUGGCAGCAGUGGGGAAUAUUGCACAAUGGGGGAAACCCUGAUGCAGCGACGCCGCGUGAGUGAAGAAGUAUUUCGGUAUGUAAAGCUCUAUCAGCAGGGAAGAAAAUGACGGUACCUGAUUAAGCAGCCCCGGCUAACUACGUGCCAGCAGCCGCGGGAAUACGUAGGGGGCAAGCGUUCUCCGGAUUUACUGGGUGUAAAGGGAGCGGAGGCGGCAGCGCAAGUCUGAAGUGAAAUGCCGGGGCUUAACCCCGGAACUGCUUUGGAAACUGUGCAGCUAGAGUGCAGGAGAGGUAAGUAGAAUUCCAGGUGUAGCGGUGAAAUGCGUAGAUAUCAGGAGGAAUACCAGUGGCGAAGGCGGCUCACUGGACUGUAACUGACGUUGAGGUGCGAAAGCGUGGGGAGCAAACAGGAUUAGAUACCCCUGUAGUC